UACAGAGGGUGCAAGCGUUGUUCGGAAUUAUUGGGCGUAAAGGGCGCGUAGGCGGUGCGGUAAGUCUGUAGUGAAAUCUCUGGGCUCAACUCAGAGUCUGCUGCAGAAACUGCCGUGCUUGAGUGUGGGAGAGGUGAGUGGAAUUCCCGGUGUAGCGGUGAAAUGCGUAGAUAUCGGGGAGGAACACCUGUGGCGAAAAGCGGCUCACUGGACCACAACUGACGCUGAGGCGCGACAGCGUGGGGAGCAAACAGG
rnacentral:rRNA from 1 species